UACGAAGGGUGCAAGCGUUACUCGGAAUUACUGGGCGUAAAGCGUGCGUAGGUGGUUCGUUAAGUCUGUCGUGAAAGCCCCGGGCUCAACCUGGGAAUGGCGAUGGAUACUGGCGGGCUAGAGUGCGGUAGAGGAGAGUGGAAUUCCCGGUGUAGCAGUGAAAUGCGUAGAGAUCGGGAGGAACAUCAGUUGCGAAGGCGGCUCUCUGGACCAGCACUGACACUGAGGCACGAAAGCGUGGGGAGCAAACGG
rnacentral:rRNA from 1 species